rnacentral:lncRNA from 1 species
GUUACCCGACUUCUACGCUACCGGAGAAGAACGGCCUUCAAAGGUUCAGAGAAAACCCUAGCUUGCAGAGAAAACCCUAGCUUUGUUCAGAGAAAACCCUAGCUUUCAGAGAAACCGAAGGAAUCAAGUACGAGAGGUGUCGGAAGUUCACCCUAAACACCACGCUUGAAGAAGCAACAUCAAUCCACAAGAAAUUGAAAUCAUCUCCGAUUCUCAAAAAAAAUCCGGAAUCACCCCCAACAAAUCGAAAAUUCAAAAAUUACCACCGAUAAGUCAAUAAGGUUGAACCGGAAGAACCGAGAAGAGAAAAAAUACAUCCGAGAAGAAGAAUCAUGCUCUGAUACCAUGUGAACAUGGAGAGGAUUCUCAAAAAAUCCAGAAUCACCACCAGCAAAUCGAAAAAUCCAGAAAUUACCACCGAUAACUCAAUAAAGCUGAACCGGAAGAACCGAGAAGAGAAAGGAUACAUCCGAGAAGGAGAAGCAUGCUCUGAUACCAUGAUAAGAAUGAACCUUGGGCUUAACUCAACCCCAAAAGCUAGCUUAUGAGGUGAGGAUUGCCCAAGCCAUAUAAGGAGACCCAGGACCUCAAAUCCCUCCAAUGUGGGACAACUCAACACCCCCUAACGCCCAGAUCUGUGGAGUGUGGACAACAUAAAUGGGGGCCCAACAUCGGUAACAAUAAUUGGGAUGGGCCUGGCUCUGAUACCAUGUAAACAUGGAGAAUCAGAGAUGAAGAAGAAGAAGAAGAAGAGAGAGAGAGAGAGAGAGAGAGAGAGAGAGAGAGAGAGAGAGAGAGAGAGUCUUUUCUGAAUUGAU